GCCCGGUUAGCUCAAUGGCAGAGCGUGAGACUUUUAGUAAUAUAGCGAUAUAUGAACUAAGUUCCAAAUUAACUUGGUAUCUCAAGGCUGUGGGUUCGACCCCCACAUCGGGCG
rnacentral:tRNA from 2 species